GUCCGCUAAUAUAACCUUAAAAGUUCGAUUACGUUCGCAGGAAGCCUAAUUAUAAUCAGCACUUGUCGAAUGCUUCUGCCCUUAAAGUUGUACGAAGUCAAAACUUCCACGAUUCGUUCUUGCGGACGUACGACUCACCUCACGCCUCACAAGUCUUAUAGUCUAUAAGUUGAUAAUAAUCGCAGGUGCUUCAAUUGCUUCUGUUCGAAAGAAAGUGUAACAAACUCAAUAUUCAGAUCGCUACCCCUUUGGAGCUCUUUUAAAGCACGCAAUUAGGAACCGUAUUAUCUAACGAAAACUCGAUUUCAGCGUAAGUUAAACAAUCGGAAAAUGUGUAUAGUUCGUAGCACUGAGAGUAAUGUCCACGAAAAAUUUGCGACUCGUGGGACAAUGUGCUAAAACAAAGAAAUUUCGGACAAACAAAUUUCGUUACGAGAAGUCAUUAUAAGGAUAUAGAUGAAGGAUAUAGAAGGAUGAGUAGAUCCCAGAGACGGCUAAGUGUCGUUACGCACUCAGAAGGAUAAUUAGCGAGUACGUAUCGCGCGCAGAAUGAAGUGAAAAUUCAAUACAUCGGGAGAAGUAAAUUCAGGAACGUAAAAAUAAUGCUAAGGAAAGCUAACACUGCAAAAAAAAGUAUUGUAAAUAAAAACGUUCGUCGGCAUUCUAUGAAGCCGACUCAUAAAGCACAUACUCCCGCGUUAAAAACGCGAAGGUCCGCAUGGCGAAAGUAGAUAAUGCGGCAUCUGUGUACUUCUACAACCCAAAUCUAUAAAAGAGUUCGGACUACGAAUUGUAAGUUUAGCCUUAAUCUCUCUCGGGUUUACACUCUACGAAACAGAGUUUUCUUUUCAAACACGAUAUAUUCGAAAGCGUACAUCUUUUCGAAAUUAUUGGCCAGCCUUUGCAAGUGGAGUGCCAAAAUAAGCCCCCUGUCUAAGGCCGCUACAAGUAAAAUAGCACUUAUGCUCCGACUCGAAACGACGAAAAUUCUGUCUCUAGGGAGAGGUGCAUUCUAUCCGAAAGUGAAAAAAACGUAAUCGGUCGUCAUUUACGGAGUCGCAACGAUUUCGUGCACUGGUUGGUGGAGGUAAGGUGACUGAAACGGUCGACGCCUGUUAUAUGCCUGAAAGUACCUAUAAUCCGUAGCCAUACGAGGACAGGGAGUCAAAUUAUUCGGGCGUGAAGGUUUGAAUAAUACAAAUUUUACACGAUAAGCUACCUCGAUCUUCUCAAAAUUUGCUAUUAACUAGAGAAAAUCGAGUACAAAAAGUUGGUUGCGACAGCUGUGUGUUUAAUCUAUUCGUUCCAAACUUACCACGUUAUCUAUACCGUAAAAACAUAGCGGCGAAGGCCAUAACCAUUCGACUAGCGUCAUCGACAAAUACACCAUAUUCAGGCUAGGUUUCGACACCUCCAGUAAGCACCUGAAUAUUAAGGGCGAAAGAUAAUUCUUGAAACCUUAAGUUUACUUGGAAUGAUCGUUUUAGACGCAGUUUACGAAUUCUAUAUAAUGACCCUUGACACUGGCUGAGGUGGGGCCUAGAUCGGCACCGUUCUUAGAUGGUAGAAGGCGUCUUUGUCCUUAUUCGACCGAAAACGCCAUUUUCACGUUUUUCAUAACGCUCUAAAUCCAGCAUUAGAAAUUAAGGACCAGUCGCAAAUAAAAUGUUACGUAAACUGGUUGAAUGCGCUCGAGCUUUGCAUUGACCUCCUGCGUUGAACUGUGCAAAGUCUCUUGAGUGAAAAGUCUCUCAGAAAUGAUAGGUUUCUAAAGUCAAGAUUAGUUUUUUUUUGCCCGGCGAUGGCGGCAACCGCAGAGGUGUAACUGCAAGGGGCAGAGUGGUAAUGAAAGACAAUGUUCUGGUAGUGACGACGGCAGCGUUUUAAGUCUUAAGUGAUGUAUCUCCUUUACACAUCUGAAAGCGAAAAUUUUGGAAGUAUCAUCUUCAUUUUUUGGGAGACUCGACAAUGUGCGUACGAAUAUGUUUGGAAACAAUAAUUGCUACGAACGCAAAUGUUCUUCGAAAUUGCGGUACGUAGGUCAACUAAACGCAGAGCGAGUAACUUUAACAUACUCAUAGAAGUUUCGUUCAAGCAAAUCGUGAGCACAGUUUGUAUUCUGCUUCUUCUACUUGUAAGGUCCGGAAUACUCUCAAAAUUUACAUCGUCAUAAAUACAACAAAAAGACUUGAGGAAAAAAAAGGCGCUAUGAUUCGUAGACGAGGUUGUCUACGGGGCGUGUGUUAUCAGUAUAGUCGUACCUGAAGAGAAUAACUCGAUUCGAAUCACGAUUCAGGACCGGGCAAACGCGUUAAAAUUUAUUAUCAUAUAGAUAUACGCAGAGUUUACGUAAAGGCAACGCCGCUGUGAGUGGAGCCCGAUCUUCUGGCUAGCUUAUCUUGCCUUGAACAAAAUCUUGACAUAGUUAAUUGACGGUAAUCAAAUAGAGGUUUAUUAGACUAUAAAGAUCGUUACAAAGGCUGAUACGUAUCAUUAGCUUUAUGUUAAAGAUAAAAUUCUAUUUUGUUCUCAUAUAAAUUUGUGAUUUUAAUUGGUCCAGGUCAAAUGGUUCGUAUCACCAUGCAAUAUAAUUAACAGAAAAUAAAUAUUUACCGAUAUUUUAACCGUAACUUUUACUCAUUAUAUAUAUAUAUAUAUACGUAAUGUUAUCUUUCAAGACUCAUUAUUCGAUAGUGGGUGUCAAAUAUUACUUGACCAAUGUACUGUAGCCUAGGGGAGAGCGAUAACAGAGUUAAUUUCAAUGCCGUAAAACUUCUAACGAAAGGUUUAUUUAAAAGCUUCGUUUCACCGCGAUCAGUCCAUUGGUCUCGUUGCGGAAACGGAUUUAAUAACCUACAGGUAGCAUUUUUUGGAGUACGUAACAUUAGGGAACCGUCUUCGUUCACUACAUCCUGCAUUGGGCAUAUGUUAUCAUCGACGUACAUCUUGAUAUCCCAGGUCCAAUUUGAAGACCAGGGUUUCUGCAAAGCAGAAACACGAUAACGUAGAGUACGUUUAGUUCAACUGAGUUGCGCAUCUGCUUUGGAUUAGGGUCACUCAAUCGGAGAGUCUUUUCAAGAGAGGGGCUUUUUUUUUUUUAAUUUAAGGUCUCACUAACAUUAAGUAAUGUAAACGAGGGCCGAUACUAUAAUUGACGUGGUAGCGACAACACAUUGAAUUAGGUCAAAGUUGUUGCGGGAUUACUAUGCGAUGUAUAGAUACCAAUGUGAAAAUCAAAGUAGCUUUAAAAACAACUUAAGCUAAAAAAACGAAUCUCAUCGUGUUCUCUGCUAACGUCCAGUUUCCAACUUAUAAGAUGUCUAAUCCACAUAUCAUGUAAGACCAUUUGGACCGUCUAAUAGCACAGGAUGAUUGAAACCCACCCGUUUUCGAGGACACUUCUCUUUCCCUUUAGCAAUGGCAAAGUUGGUCGCCUUUUCUAAAGGGUUAUCCUGUGUUGUAGAUAUGUGCAUCGACGAACACAAAGGUAAAAUGCAUUUUAGGCCCUUGGGUAUUACGAAGCACGAAGGUUUCGUGCGGUCAGCCUUAACAAAUGAACGUUUCUAUAAAAGCGACUUACACCAGUCAGUUUGAGACUGCUUUCGCCUACAAAUAUAUAAAGUGAUUCGUUACGCGGUGUCUAGCACGGUUCAGAUUGCUAUCAAAAGAUGUUUUACCUUGAACCCAGCAAUCUGGAUUACGAUAACACACCAAAACAACAGUGAAGUCUAUUUUUGCGGCAGGUACUUGAUAUGAACAUACUGAGCCCUUAAAGAGGCACGGUAUCGUCACGCAUCUAAUAAAUGUAGGUGGAACUACUUCAAUCAGUUAUAGAUUGACUGGCAAACAAUCGAAUGGCUAUGAAUGGUGUGUAUAUUACUUCUCUAUAUUAUAGUGAAAUAGUUGCCAAUAAAAAAAAAAUGAUCAAUGUCAAACCCAUAUUAUUGACUAAAUUAUGGUUCAUUCAAAGAUGAUCCCACAUUCACACACAAACAUUCCAUCUAGUAUGAGCUCGUGUAUAUAACUGCGGCACUCAAACAUCAGCCAGCUUGUUUUGACUGGUUGCUUAGAAUUGCCAGUCGGUGGAUAUUUGGUCUCCUGAAGAUUUCUUGUAAGAGUUUCAUCGGUUUUACCCGAUGCGGAAACGACAGAAUUUGUUUCAUAGCGCAUAUUGACCAGAAACCGCAGAAUUUUUUUACUGUGUAUAUUUAACACUUGUGCCUUUGUCGUAAGGAAACGGUGGUCGUCUGCAGAAAAUUUACGCAUCAUCAAAGUACUCUAUGUUGACUUUGAAUGAAGGCCUUCCAACGAUCUCAGCACGUCUACUGCUGCCACCUUUCAGCUUUCAAACGUCGUGAACGCUGACAUACGCGAUUCGAAAGUCACCUAGCUAGAACAACGGUCUUUCUCAAGAUGCAUAUAUACAUACUUUCUUUGUUUACAUAGCUUGUGUAGAAAGAGACCAGGAGCUGCUGCUUGCUAGCAGCUCCUGGUCUCUUUGUUCCAGCCAGAGACUUAGCCAUCCAAGUCAUAGCCUUCACACUCUAUUUAUAUAUUUAGUACUGCGUUGGGGAUCUAUAGUUUUUUGUUUUCAAGCACCUUCAGUUGAAAAGGAAAUAGCACAACAAACUAGGAAAAGAUGAGGAUUUCUGCGACUACUCUGAGGAGGUUUUAACGGAAGUAAUUCCAAUCACGUUUUUAUACCGGGUGUUUUAAAAGCUGCGCAGGCCUGGGGGAGACAAAUCGGAAUUCGUUCCGUAGCUUCAAAUGUAACAGUCGGUGCAGUCUAUUUCAUUCUUCGCAUUGGAAGUAGAUAUUUGGAUUAUGACAAUUAUUCUAGGUAACAGAAAGGAAACAGCGCACAUUUUGUCUAGACUUGAUUGAAAGGCGUCAAAGUUUCGUAAAUAUCUUCAGUGAUCGAUAGGAUUCUAGCAGAACUUACACAUCUUCUGACGUAGUUUUUUUGCUACCAUCAACUUUUAAUCACCUCUCACAUAACUAGGAACGCUCGGUACGAAGAGUCAGACGGUUAAGUACGCUGUUCCUUUAUUUUUAACAAAACCAGCUCGACAAUAAAGAUGUGGGAAACUAAAAAACGAUUGCAUACUCGUCGUAUAAAUAAUUACUAACUACUUUGGCAGUUACCGAAAAAAUUUAUUUCUGCAACAUCAUGGUUCAACGUUGACCUAUUACCUAGCAAUAUCUAACAGUGUAAUUCACCAACGUCCUAGACAGGGUGGGGUACUAUUUAUGAGCAUCCUGCCACGCUUUAUUUAUGUGUAGUACAUAUGUGGGUGCACAUAUUAAUUCUAUUCAGGGCCUAUUUAGAUUGCGCCGUUCGAAGACUAUCAGCUCCGGUCCACGUAUUGUGAUCAUAAUCCUUCGCAGUGCUGUUACCUGCUGACCUUCCCAAACACGGCAAUGACUACCAACAAGCAGUUGGUAAUGAGCCUUCCAGUUUGUUGUAUAUAACCCUAAAUAUCCAAAUGAGCUGAAGCCUAUCGCAGUACAUACAUUUUUAUCGAACGCGAUCCGGGUGCAAUCGGGGUUUCGUCCUCGUUUACGGUGCGCAGGGGUCGUCAAAGGCCAUCUGUGAAUUACAUGCAAUACUAACAGGUUGAUAGAUCGAACAAUCAAUGAAUUUCAGUUAGAGUAAAUAUUUCUUCAUACAUUUCCAGCGACUGUUGGCCAUAUACGAAUUUGUUAUGUAUUUCAUCAAUCAGAUAUCAUCUCUUAUUUUGUAAUAUCAUUUAAUAACAAAUAUGUGUGUCGGCACACAAACGAAUCAAAAGUGUUCACAUAUUGUUUGUGCACAGUGUCCCAGUAAAUUAGCUGUUCUUGUCUCCUAUUGUAAUUACAUACAGUCACAAAUAAUUAGUACUCUUUUAGUACGCUUUUAAUCAACGACGAUUUACCCUGUCCUUAGAUUCGUUAAUGCAGUAAGGCUUAAGGCCGGUUUUAGUAACGCUGUAGUUCCGGCAUAACAAUCUACGUAUGCUGUAAGCUUGGUAAAGCUCGAAAAGGUCGAGGCGAUGCAGAACGGAUGUAAUACCUUGAUGCAUCCCUUCAAUCGUCAGUUUCCUAAGAGUGAGCUCUUUUUGAAAUUUCACUAUAGGCUACGCAAGCGGAGUUACAUAGAAGAUCAAACUAGGAAAUUACACCUAUUGUUUUCAUUAAAGCCUGGUUUUGGUUUCCCGAGUGAUCGCACUGCCUCACUGUAAUCAACUCUUUCAUGUGAUUUUUCGGGGUCAUUUUAGAAACGUUAAGUGCGUCACCCUCCGGCUACCAGUAUGAGACAAGUAAACUGAUCAAACCCGCGUCACCCGCAGCCGACCCCAAGGGUCGUGACUGCGCUAACAUUAUCUAGACAUCAACUGGACACCACAUUUCAGGCCCCUGAAGAGGUUUUUUACCCUUAUGGUCUAAAUCCAGGUUCAGCCGAUAGAUCCACCGAAAAGGGUAUAGAUUUAUUUAUUGGUUAAUGAUUGAUUGAAACUCUAGACUCUGCUGCGGUAAACAGAGCUAAGUAACACCAAUUACAUUAUGUUUCAAUACAUGGUUACUUUUGAUCUAAAGGUUCGUCCGAUAUAAAUGAAUCAAUAAUUGCCAUUGGUGGUCAAAUAUUGUUUAGCCAAUUUGCAUCGUAUAUCUUUAGAAGUCCGCAUGUGCGCUCUAAUCUUAAGAGCGCAGCUUUCCAUGGUCCUUGUAAAAACUCCUACUCUCUUAGUAUCUUACACCAGCUAGCCGUUAUAAGUCAGAACUUCUUGGUUCUAUCCCCAUGACAUGAAGAGCUAAUACUGGAAAACAUUUGUACCUUGAUUGACCUUGGCCCUAAAAUGCCACGCAGCUUGCGGUUCCGGUGUCUCAGAGGAGUAUAAAACAUUUCACUUAUUAAGGAAGGACGUCUACUUCCCCUUAUGUCGGAAACAAACAUUUUCUAGUGUAUAUUUGGCCCACGAACUAAUUUGGCUGGUGAUCCAUGUAAACAACGAACUUAUAAUUAAGAAGGAAAAACGUUCCGACAAAAUAUAGCGUGCAAGUUUUCAUUUGCCUCCGUCUGUUCUGAAUGCUAACAGUGUAAAAAGUUAUCGAAAACGAUGAAUCAUCGAAUGGGAUUACUCGACCCAAAUGGUACAGUUUAUCUAGUACAGGCGAAAGGUGGUUCAGUAGAGAGCUGGUUAACAAGGUUAUUGUAGCAAUUUCUUCUGUGGACCUGUGCCGUCGGUCCAGGCAACUCUUCAACGCGAUCUUUGGCCUCUACUCGUACUGUUCAGUAUAGUAACUUUAGCUAUGGGCUAUUGGACUGCGCUCAUGUUCGUACGAUGGAAAGCCAACCGUAUGCCAUACACGCAUCUAAACACCGAACGUGAUGCUUACCCACGGAAGCCUUCACAAGCAACACCGAUAGUGAAUACUAACCAAGCCGUUCAAGUCGUCAACCCUGGUGGCCCAGACGAUCAAGACAACAUCGUAUUCGAACAGAAAUGGCAGUCUGGACCAAAAUGCAAGGACGCGUUUCAUAAAAGUCUGCCACCGUAUGGUGCCGUAUUUCACGACAAAAAUAUGAAGCAGACAAUUUUUAGAGAGCGACUGUCAAAGACGCAUUCAAACGAUGCCGUAUACCCUGCAGGAGGACCAGAUGUAACACGUGUCAUUUCGGAGCGGAUUACUGAUGGACACGAUCCUGCAGUAUAAAGAGCCUGUCAUUGUUAAACAGUGAAAAUACGCCAAAUAUUAUUAUUAAAAAUUUUUUACGUCAAUGGGACGCUCAGCAACUUAUGACAACAAAUUAUUGAGCUCAGCUGAAUCUCGCUCACAAGAGGUCGCUCGGAGGAGCUCCAUGCAAGUAUUUACUGCGACGUGGCAGAUUUCGAGCACAUCGGCGUAAAACUCGCCGAUGUGCCGAAAUGUAUUGAAUGUACAUGUACUAGACUGAUCGGGUUACUCAGGAGGGCUUAAUAUGACGGAUACUCUCUUCGGCGUUUUUAUUGUCUUAACCAAAUCUAUAUUUCCAUCCGAGUGAAAUCCGUGUGAUUUUUGACAAUUUAAAGAAAAUA